rnacentral:lncRNA from 1 species
UGACCACAGCUGGGGCUCCACUCUCUUUAAGCAUUCGCUCAUUUAACCCUCACAGAACUCGGCCGCCAGGAGCCAUGAUGAUCUUCAUUUUAUGGCAGACGAAAUUUCCAUUUAUAAAGGUUAAAUAAGCGGCCCAAGGACAGGCUCGGAGGGGGAGCACCCAGAUUCAAAUAUGAAUCGUCACGGUCUACACCCUAUGGCCACUGGAGAACAAAUGAUCACCUUUACCAAAGAGAAAGCAGGAAAUAGAAAAGCCUCUCAUCAUCUUCAACAAUAGCAAUAAACAUUUUUUGAUCAGCUUCUAACUGCAAGGCCUGUGUCAGACCCUGAAGAUGCAAAGAUAUAAUAUCAUCCCUCGGAGAGUUCAUGAUAGUCCUGAUAAAAAAAAAAAAAACUAAAUACAUGAAAAUACAAAGCAAUAUAAAAGUGGCAAGUGGGCGUUCUUAAUAGUAACACGUGACUGUGAUAGAGGAAGGUUCCCAUGACCAAGGAGACGGGACUGAAUCUGGGACUUACUGCAAAAUGAGUAGAAUCUAGUUAAUAAUGAAAUCGACAUCAAUUUAUUAAAAACAAUGAAGAAAGAGUUUGGGCAUUCUGGACAAAAGAAACACGCUGAGAAAACAAUAGAUUACAAGAAAGAUGCUGUGAAACCAAAAGCAAUCCAGCAGACAAGAAGGGGAGCACGCAGGCACUGCCUUCUCAAGAAUUAAGGAUAUUUAUCACUUGGGAUGAUAUUCAUGUGGCCUCACCAGCUUCCGGAACAGCUCCGCUCUUAACGUUUGAACAAUUUAUUGCCUAAUUAUUUCUUUUGCCCUUUUGAAGAGUCUCUCUGCAGGACA